GCGGCCGUGACCCUGCUGGAGUGUGGGGGGGACCUCCAGCCCCCUGGGGGGUCCCUGACGUUGCUGUGCCGCACAUCUGGGUUUGAUUUCGGGAAUUUUGGAAUGAUCUGGAUCCGUCAGAGACCCAGGCAGACACUGGAAUACAUCGCCAGCAUCAGCAGCAGUGGUGGCGGCACCGGCUACGCGCCAUCGGUCAAGGGCCGGUUCAGGAUCUCCAGGGACAACGGGCAGAGCUCGGUGACGCUGACCAUGAACAACCUCAAGGACGAGGAUUCCGCCGUUUAUUUCUGCACAAAACGUGCCAAUAGUAGUUACGGUUCUGAGAGUGCUGCUGCUAUUGGGAGCAGCACCCCGGAGUUGCCACCAUCAUUCCUGAUCCACGCGAGCCAUUCCAAGCCCUGCAUGGGUCUCUGGUGCACCGAGAACAUGUCGUAG